rnacentral:rRNA from 1 species
AACGAACGCUGGCGGCAGGCUUAACACAUGCAAGUCGAACGCCCCGCAAGGGGAGUGGCAGACGGGUGAGUAACGCGUGGGAACAUACCCUUUUCUACGGAAAAGCUCUGGGAAACUGGAAUUAAUACCGUAUACGCCCUACGGGGGAAAGAUUUAUCGGGGAAGGAUUGGCCCGCGUUGGAUUAGCUAGUUGGUGGGGUAAAGGCCUACCAAGGCGACGAUCCAUAGCUGGUCUGAGAGGAUGAUCAGCCACAUUGGGACUGAGACACGGCCCAAACUCCUACGGGAGGCAGCAGUGGGGAAUAUUGGACAAUGGGCGCAAGCCUGAUCCAGCCAUGCCGCGUGAGUGAUGAAGGCCUUAGGGUUGUAAAGCUCUUUCACCGAUGAAGAUAAUGACGGUAGUCGGAGAAGAAGCCCCGGCUAACUUCGUG